rnacentral:rRNA from 1 species
AGUUGAGCGAUUUACUUCGGUAAGAGCGGCGGACGGGUGAGUAACGCGUGGGUAACCUACCCUGUACACACGGAUAACAUACCGAAAGGUAUGCUAAUACGGGAUAAUAUAUUUGAGAGGCAUCUCUUGAAUAUCAAAGGUGAGCCAGUACAGGAUGGACCCGCGUCUGAUUAGCUAGUUGGUAAGGUAACGGCUUACCAAGGCGACGAUCAGUAGCCGACCUGAGAGGGUGAUCGGCCACAUUGGAACUGAGACACGGUCCAAACUCCUACGGGAGGCAGCAGUGGGGAAUAUUGCACAAUGGGCGAAAGCCUGAUGCAGCAACGCCGCGUGAGUGAUGAAGGCCUUCGGGUCGUAAAACUCUGUCCUCAAGGAAGAUAAUGACGGUACUUGAGGAGGAAGCCCCGGCUAACUACGUGCCAGCAGCCGCGGUAAUACGUAGGGGGCUAGCGUUAUCC